AUUGAACGCUGGCGGCAGGCCUAACACAUGCAAGUCGAGCGGCAGCGGAAGGAAGCUUGCUUCCUUGCCGGCGAGCGGCGGACGGGUGAGUAAGGUAUGGGGAUCUGGCCGAAGGCGGGGGAUAACCACUGGAAACGGUGGCUAAUACCGCAUAAUCUCUAAGGAGCAAAGUGGUGGCCCGUUCAGGCCUCACACCUUCGGAUGAACCCAUAGGAGAUUAGCUAGUAGGUGGGGUAAUGGCUCACCUAGGCGACGAUCUCCAGCUGGUCUGAGAGGAUGAUCAGCCACACUGGGACUGAGACACGGCCCAGACUCCUACGGGAGGCAGCAGUGGGGAAUAUUGCACAAUGGGCGCAAGCCUGAUGCAGCCAUGCCGCGUGUAUGAAGAAGGCCUUCGGGUUGUAAAGUACUUUCAGUCGUGAGGAAGGUGUUAAGGUUAAUGACCUUAGCAAUUGACGUUAGCGACAGAAGAAGCACCGGCUAACUCCGUGCCAGCAGCCGCCGUAA
rnacentral:rRNA from 1 species